rnacentral:lncRNA from 1 species
AUUGUGCCCGCACUGUGGCAAACACAAGAGGACAUGAAUGGUUGGCGGUGCAGUGUGGUGGAAGUGCAUUGCAGUGGAUCCCAAGGAAACCAGAGGCAAAUUCUGGCUCUGCCACUAGCAAGGCUCUGUGGCUAGGGUACCCCUGUGGAAUUCAGCCUCCUCAUCCGUGAAAUGAAGAAGUGAAACAAAAACAUCUUAAUGUUAUUUCUAACACCUGCUUUCUCUGGAUUCAGCAUCAGAAUAUAUCCAGAUAAGACUGCAAACAACUGAGAGAGCUAAUUCUUUGCUGUUGGGGUGAACUCUGAUACUUAGUGUCAAUAAAAACUCUAUGGUGCCCUGGACAUUUCAGAUAACAGAUCAUCCAGCAGAGUCUGUAGGAACCAGGGAUUCCUCACCUACGGCUCAGUGAGACCAAGAAUGUUUAAAAGCCUGCCGUGGUCUCCCCAUCCCUGCAGGGAGCUUCUACUAAACUGUGAGAAACAUCAGAACAAGAACUGAAGAUGUCUUCGGGUUUUUUUGUUACUGUUUGUUUGAGACGGAGUCUCACUCUGUCACCACGCUGGACUGCGGUGGCAACCUCUCAGCUCGCUGCAACCUCCACCUCCCGAGUUCAAGCGAUUCUCCUGCCUCAGCCUCCCGAGUAGCUGGGGCUACAGGUGCAUGCCAUCAUGCCCAGCUAAUUUCUGUAUUUUUAGUAGAGACGGGGUUUCACCAUGUUGGCCAGGAUAGUCUCGAUCUCUUGACCUUGUGAUCUGCCCGCCUCAGCCUAAAGAUGCCUUCUUUGCAAGUAUGUUUGCAAUGCUCCACAACUAUUUAUUGAAUGAACAAGUGUUUGAAGAAUCCUUGACUUUUGGAGGAACCAUAUGACCUUGGGAAUGCUCACCAAUGACAAUUUUUCACUCUGAAUCAUAAUGUGAGAGCAGAAAAUUAUCAAAACAUGUUUGUAUUUCACAUUGAAAUUAAUUGAAUAAAUAUAUAAUUCAUCAUCCU